rnacentral:lncRNA from 1 species
AAGGAUUUUCCUCAAGGGGGAAAAGUUUGUUACCAAAAGAGUCAAUCUUGAGAAUUUAACCAUGGGGAGAAAAGAAAAAAAAAAAAAAAAAAAAAAGAACAAAGAAAUUAAAAUUGUGAAAAUUGCACCUAGUGUACAACAAUGUCUCUAGAUUGAGAUCUCCAAAAUCACUAUCCUUCUCUUAUAUUCUUCAAUUCGAUUCAUUUGGUGGGCCAUCUUGAUGAUAAUCUACAAUUACCUUAGUUUUUCUUUUCUGAAAAACAAAAAUCAAUUCAAUGUAA